UAUGUGAUCGUCUCUCGCAUAUCAAUAAGCGGAGGAAAAGAAACUAACAAGGAUUCCCCUAGUAACGGCGAGUGAAGCGGGAAGAGCUCAAAUUUGAAAUCUUAAAGGGUUUCCCUUUACGAAUUGUAGUUUAAAGAAGUGUUUUCUGUUGAGGUUUUGGUAAAAGUUCUUUGGAAUAGGACAUCAUAGAGGGUGAGAAUCCCGUAUUUGACCUUUACUUUCAACUUUGUGAUACACUUUCAAAGAGUCGGAUUGUUUGGGAAUGCAGUCCAAAGUGGGUGGUAAAUUUCAUCUAAAGCUAAAUAUUGGCGAGAGACCGAUAGCGAACAAGUACCGUGAAGGAAAGAUGAAAAGAACUUUGAAAAGAGAGUUAAACAGUACGUGAAAUUGUCAAAAGGGAAGCGUUCGACACCAGUGUUGUUUUUCUGAAAAUCAAUUAAAGAACUGUUUAUGCUAAGCUGUUUAGACUUUAUCAGCUAAUCUGUUUAGUUUUGAGCUUUUCUUUAAUGCACUUUUCAGUUAACAAGUCAACAUCAAUUUCUUUUGCUGUAAAAAAGCUUGAGGAAGGUGGCUUGAGAUUCGUCUUAAGUGUUUAUAGCCUCUUGCCUAUGCAGUCGGAGAGAUUGAGGUCUGCAGCGUAGAUCCUUCGGGGCUAAAUGCAUUUGUGCUAAGUUAUAGCAUUUUAUAGACAACUUGUUGACUAUGAUUUGUCUUGUAGCUUACUCGCUUAUGUUAUUUUACCUACGCUUAGGAUGUUGAAGAUAUGCGCGACACG
rnacentral:rRNA from 1 species